GGACUGCGCAUGCUCCGCGCCGCCCCGCCCUGCGCUAGCCCUGAUGGAGCGGGCUGGGUUUGCAGAGCCUCGGGCCUUUGGUACCCAAGGAGACCAAGGUGAGCAGGAUGUGCAAACCUACCGAAGGAGCUUCCUGUUUCCCUUCCAGCGGCCUCAGAAAUUCUGCCACUUACUGGGACGCACCUGAGGGCAUCGAAGUGGUAGGGUGAGCAAAACAAAGUUGAGUGGAGACGAAUUCAUGCAGCUUGCAUGGUAUGACUGGCAAGACAGAAGCCUGAGAUCCUUAACAAUCUAGGACCAAUUGGAAAAUGAAAAGGUCCUGCAAUCCAAACCUGCUUCAAACGUGGAGUGACAACACAUGUCUGCGAUCCUAGGACCCUAGGAAGAUGGCGGCAAGAAGAUCGGGAAUUCAAGGCCAACCUGAACUAUAAGAGACCCUGUCUCAAAAUAAACUUGUUUCCGUUGCCCCUAUAUACCUCACUUUAAAACAGAAAAUGGCGAUAUAAAAUACCACGUGUUGACAAGAAUGUGAAAUAACUGAAUUUGAUUGUGGUGCUGGAGCACCUCCUUUGAAAAACAAGAACAAUUUGUUACAGAUGUGUACCCUAUGACCUGCCAGUCCCUUGGUCACACAAUUGGUAGGAACAAUACUUACGUUGUGCAGGCAGAUAAGUGCCAGGACACCCAUGGCUGCUUUUGUCUUAAUAGUCUUCAAAUGGGAAUAAUCUAACACCGAUAGAUUAACAUACCUUGUCAUUGUGUAAUGGGAACACUACACAGCAAUGCAAAGGACCCUCUGAAACUGUAGGCAAUAACACAGAAAACGACAGAAACUUACCGUUGAACAUAAAAUGUUAGACACAAAGCCUCACAGUGCUCUUUCUGCAACCAGAUAGACCAAUACAAUAUGGCCGAGGUCAAGAAAUUGGAGCAGUCAAAACUGAGGAAGACAGAACACAAACGAAGACUCUUCUCUUUUCACAAUAAGCAAUGGAACAGGAGAAACCAGCGGGAGAAUUGGAACAAGGAGGGGGCUCCGUUAGGCAAGAUUGGCUUCUUCUGGUACUCUGGUCUGCAAUUUAACUUUGUAAAAUAUUAAGAUCAAGUUUAAAUAGCUUCACGUCAUCAAGAACCACACACCACGAAGGGUCAUGCCUGCCUCCACCAUCUGCUGGUCUGUGGGACAGGAGAACUUCCUUUUUGGUAGAAGAAGAAUCUGGCUGGAAGUCGUGAAAUCUAAAGUAAGAUCUAAAGUAGCUGAAGAUCUCUCAUCAGCAGUAAAAUGCAGUUUUAGUGGUAAAAUGUAGUUUAAUCACAGUGCUAUUUUUGCUCAAAUAAUUUUAAUUAUUGGAAUGAGGAAAUUCUAAUAUGCAAAUUUAAAACAUCUAAAAAACUGAAGGCAUAAUCUGUCAUUGGUUUAAUUUGGAUAUCAAGUCUUGGAGGACUAAAGACACACUGUCUGAAUUGUCAGGUGUAUAUACACAUCACUCUAGUUUUGGGUUUUUUUAACUCUUGCUUGUCCUUCUCUUGCAUGACAGAGUCUUUAUUUUCAAAGGACAUCAUUAGACCAAAUAAUAACAGGUAACAACUUCUUGAGUUAUAAUAUAUAUUAACCUUAAAAUAACAAAUAUUGACAGGAACUGACAGUCUAAAGAAGAGUACUCAUGUUCGUUGUUCUAAUCGUCAGCAGGAAUGGACCAAUUUUAAACUGGCUGUGCCUAAUUCAAGAUGCAAUAACUAUUACUACCAUUUCAGAAAGUAAGUAUGAUGGCUAAAUUUCAUUGUCAACCUGAUGGGAUUUGGAAACACCCUGGAAACAAGUCUCUGGACAUGUGUGAUGGGUUUAUAUUGAUUGUUAAUUACACAGGAUAUAAAGUCACUUUGGGCAGUUCCUUGGGCAUGUUUGUGAGAUAUUUUUUUAGAACAGGUCAAUUGAGUUUGAAGAAUAUCCUCCUAGUCAGAAUUAAAAGGAGAAAGUGAGCUGAGUAGCAGCAUUAUCACUUCCUCACUGUGGGUGAAGCAUCCGUGGGGUAUUAUUGCACUGUCAUUGGGGCUGGUGCUCUCCAAGGUACAGAAUUGCAAGCUCUAGAUUGUAAAUAUUCUAAAUUAAAGCAGUGAACUCAGGGACAAUUGGUUUUAUCUAAUAAUAAAUAGUAAUUUGAAUCUUG